ensembl:lncRNA
GCCGCGGCCAAUGGCGGUAGCGCGGAACGGCGCCCGGCGCGGAGCAGGGAGCCAAGCAGCACGCCUCAGCGCUGGCCGGGUGGCUGCCAUCGCACGGACAACAGUGCUGCUGAUGCCUUCUCCAGACGAGACGCCCAAACAAGGCAGCUACCACCGGAACAGAGCAAGACAACUUGUUUAUCAGACAGAGGAAUGCUCCUCAGCAGUGCAGGGCAGGAGGAAGAGGGGGCUGCUGUCUCCAGGCCCAGCGUAGGCAGUUCAGAGAUGGCCUGCAUUGUUCUACAUCAGGAUAACGAGGCGCUUCCGCAGCCCCUUUCCUGUGGGAAUCCCAACAGGAAAUGUGAUUUCCACUCUUCCCCAGAGCUGCUGCUGGGCUCCCUGUCUCAGCCACUGUCACAAGACACACAGCAGAGUUUGUGAGAUCACUGUGGUCUGAACGGGGCUGCCUGUGCAAAACAUUUGGCUCCCAUCACCCACAGCGGGCCCAAGAGGCAGAGGGCUGUUUGUGCCACACUCCGCAUGAAAAGCACUUUCUGUGGGCUGGAGCAGAUCACGCAGUAAGAGAGGACUUUGCCCUUUAACACUUUGCUUUCCUCUUCCCAGGCCAGCACCAGCAGUAGGACGCGCAGGAGCUGUUUUGCAUACUGUAACUAAUGCCCCUGAACGCCCCUUUGUCCAUCUUGCGUCACCUGCAGUCUGAUCCCUGUCAGCUCAUGAGCACACAGAGCCUUCAAAGUUGUCUGCCAGCCGUACAGGAUGCAUUCUUAUUUCUCAGCUUUGAGCGUGUCCCAGGACUGGGACAGACCCAGAUCACUUGCCCUUUUAUCACUCCUGCCCCCGGGAUGGCCUAAGGAGAAGGGAAGAGUGCUCCGCACUGUGUGACACAGAAGGAAGUGUAGAGCCCAGCUUUGCCUUGGCCACCGCCCUGGUGAGCAAUCAGCACAGCACCACCAGCUUGUUCGUCCAGCAACGGAGACAGGUGAUACCAAGUCCUACCUCUGAGUCAGCAAGGAGCAUGCAGUGAAGAUACAGCCUUUUCCAGUAACUGGGAUUUUGCCUCACCUGCUGAUCAGCUGCCUUGUCACAAGAGGAAGUCCUCUGAUAUCAGCGUCUUGGAAUUUUUUAAUUAAGCUUUGUCCUGGCUCCGUGGCUUUCCUUUGACUUCUCUGCCCUGGUCGGCUCACCCAGCUGCAAAGUACUUUCUACUGCUGAUGUCCUCCCAUUUGCAGGCUCCCAGUCACAGCUUCUGCUUACGCCUUAGGCUUGGCUGCUGAGGAGUCUCUUUCUCACUGCCACAGCUCUAGCAUGGUCCAAGCACAGUAUAAAGCAUCACAAAGCAGCAGGGAAGACUACGAGCAUAUUCUGAAAUCCACAGAGGCCCCUAAAUCAAUAAGUGUAUCCAUCUGUCCCCAGUGAAUUCAAGCUUUUCAAGUUACGGCUUCGAUUACUGUAAUUCCAAAAGAUUGCAGCGGGCAGAGGAGUAUGCUUCUCUUUUUUCUAUUUUUAUGAGCAUAUGAUAGCACUCUGAUAUGAAAUUACAUGUUUUACUGUUUCCCUUGGUAUGUACAGCUGGACACAAAGCCACCCGAGGUCAGCGGAAAGAUUGCCACCAACCUCAGAGCCUCUGGCUUAGACCCAUAAUUACUUUCUUCUGUGGUUUGUUCCAGUUCUGCACCCUUACGUGUCGAAACACAGGAAAACCCAUCUGUAAAGCCACAGGGGAUGAUACCAUGUUUAACUAGUUGCAGAAAGCUUUGUAGAUUUAAAAUCUAUAGCAUCGUUUUAAUUCUUGUUCUUCUGCAGCCCUUGAAACUUCCACCCACUUUGGUUGUUUGUGAGGACAGGCAGUAUCUCCAGGCUAUGGGCUGGGAUCAUUAUAGCUCUCGGUAGUGUGUGUGUGGAGUGAUUGACGCAGAUGUUUUUACAAUGGAUGCUUUAUAAAACAGCAAAACGCAUUUCCAAUUCUCUAAGCAGGCAGCAUCGUUUGCACGAAGGCCACUUUCCAAAACGCCCAUCCUCAAUCCUCCCCUUUCUGCCCAGUGUUUAUCUGUACGUCCGUCUCCCCCCGAGGCAUCAGCAGGCUGUGACAGUGCUGUUUCUCACCCACACACCCAAAACAAGGCCCUGAGCCGAUGGACUCAAGCGUCACCACAACAGCAGCAGCUUCUUUGCAGCCAGCACGCAUCCCGCUCACUGACCACCCAAAGCCUCCUCCUCCUGGGGAGGCAGGGCACGCUAACUCAGGUAACCAACACAGCGUGGGAGCGGUACAAGGUGCCACGUCGGGGCCAUCACAGUGGUGACCUUAAGACGGUGCAGUCUGGGACAGGCACCUUCCCUGUGUCCAGUUUUCACCCUCAGGAAUCUCCACAGCCCGUCCCCUCAGCCCCAGCUCGCCCGGAACACAGCCCACCGCCACCCGACCCCCCGCCGCUUUCCCCGCUCACCCUCAGCAUCCACCAGCACCUCCUGCGCGACCUUCCCGCCUAAGUUCCCGCCGCGCUGCGAUUGGUCGGGAGUUGAGCCAAUAGCGGAGCCGUUGCUGGGCAGAACACGGCGGAGCGAAAAGGCGCGGCGCGAGGCACGCACGUGCGGCAGGGCCGACGCGCAUGCGCGAG